AUGAUUAAAUCACAUUCAUUGCAAUAGGAAACUGUAUUCGGUAUAUACAAUCGGUAUUGCAUGUUGUACCAAGUAUAAUAUAGUGAUGAGAUUUUGAAGUUUGUGUUCUAUUACCACAUGGAACUACGUCAGGAGUGGAGACCAUAAUCGUUGUAAGUAUGUUGACAAACUUUAUCCAAAGGGUAAAAACUCAGUUCUUCGAGUUAUAAAUCGGACCAGAGUUGCCGCAAUUGAAACGAAUUAGAUAAGUGAACAGGGCAUGCUUAGCAAGUACAAACCAGUAUAAUUAGAAUUGAAUUAACAAAGGUAAAACUUGAACGUUCAUGUUUGUAUACUCAAAAGAAUCAACGGAGUUGUGAAAUUUUCUUAGUGGAGUUUACUCAUUGAUUUUUUACCACUUACACACAUAAGUCUUAUACUUGCCAAGUUGAAUGGUACCAUUAGUACCAGUACUAGUGUCAUCUAGUGUCAGUACUAGUGUCAGUAUAGGCAUCAACAUCAUCACCAGUAUCGGCGCCAGCAUCAGCACAGCACCACUACCACUACCACUUCCACUUACCACUUCCACUUACCACUUCCAUUACUACCACGACUACCACUAACCAUCACCACUUUCAUCUCCAUUCUUGUCAUUAUUGGCUUGUUGUACGUUGUUCAAAUGUUUCAACGUAUGUACAUUUGUGACUACGAUUUCUUGUUAGCGAUAUAAACGAAGAGGAUAAAGACUUUGGAGUAAAUAAUUUUGGCCGUGCCACUAGCAUAAUGUAUUUGUGCGUCUAGGUAUCCUGCGUCUCGGUAUCCUUAGCGUUGCAAGUGGAAAGUGGCUUCACACUAUAAAUGGUUGACACAGCUAAUACAUUAGACAUAAACUUUCUCAGCAUUCACGAACAGUAAAAAUACUAUUGGUAAAUGAUUCAUGGAUAUAUAGUAUUAGUAUUUGGCAUUCGUUUCGCUUAUGAAUUGUGAUUGAACCGAUAUCGUAUCAUCAUUAAAAGUUUCCUGUACAUCUUCUACAUCAUUCAAACAUGUGGAAGAAUCAUAAAUUUCACAAAAAUAAUGUCUCAAUCGCAUACGUAUUGUCUGCUCUGACUU